UCGACCUCCCCCGGCAAACCAGAGUGGUUCUGGCUCAAUUACGUUCCGGCAGAUGCAGCCGCCUCAAUUCCCACAGAGCUAGGAUUGAUGCCGACGUGCAAGAUGUAUGUCCCGAUUGUAACCAGGGACCGCUCGAUACACGUCACCUGUUUAACUGCCCGGCCAGACCCACUCGACUCAGACCCAGAUCCCUGUGGACGCACCCCAUCUUAGUCGCGGAGUUCCUGGGUCUUGACACUCAACAGAAUCAAUCAGACGAAAGAUAGUACACAAUAAACUGCUACAACAACAACAACAACAACACUAUUAUUUCGAUAUUUAUUGUCUUUGGAUAAAAAACAAAAACUCUUAUAACAUUUUUAUUUUCCUUUCAGUUUGAUUUGACCAACGGCUCUCGCGCAUUUAUAUAACGAUUUGUCAGUCGAUGGACAAUUUAUGGUUUUAGAAAAACUGCCUCUACAUCACCACGUAUCAGAUGGCUCUCUGGGCACUACGGCUCAAUCGGGUUCUCCCAGCAAUUUGGACGGUAUUUUGGCAUAAACUUUUUGGCAUUAAACAAAUUUUGGCUGACUUCCCCCAGGCCAAUACUUUGAGGCGUCAGUAUUUUCUUCGUUUUGGUUGCGGUUAGUUUUCAAUUUGGAGAUAUAUUGUUUUGCACGCACCAAAAUAUAUGUAUAUGUAACACACAAUCAAACGCAAUCAACAAAAUAAACGUUUUGUUUAGGACUGAUAUAAAUUUUAAA